rfam:Camelus ferus unplaced genomic scaffold scaffold118, whole genome shotgun sequence.
GAGGGUAUAGCUUAAGUGGUAGAGUUCAUGCUUAGCAUGCAUGAAGUCCUGGGUUCAAUCCCCAGUACUGCCA